GACGAACGCUGGCGGCGUGCUUAACACAUGCAAGUCGAACGGAAAGGCCCUGCUUUUGUGGGGUGCUCGAUUGGCGAACGGGUGAGUAACACGUGAGUAACCUGCCCUUGCCUUUGGGGUAACUUCAGGAAACUGGUGCUAAUACCGGCUAGUAGCUCCUACUGUUUGGUGUGGGUUGGAAAGUUUCGGCGGUUUGGGAUGGAAUCGCGGCUUAUUAGCUCGUUGGUGGGGUAGUGGCUUACCAAGGCUUUGACGGGUAGCCGACCUGAGAGGGUGACCGGCGACAUUGGGACUGAGAUACGGCCCAGACGCCUACGGGAGGCAGCAGUGGGGAAUAUUGCCCAAUGGGCGGAAGCCUGAUGCAGCAACGCCGCGUGCGGGAUGACGGCCUUCGGGUUGUAAACCGCUUUCGCCUGUGACGAAGCGUGAGUGACGGUAAUGGGUAAAGAAGCACCGGCUAACUACGUG
rnacentral:rRNA from 1 species